rnacentral:rRNA from 1 species
GAUGAACGCUGGCGGCGUGCCUAAUACAUGCAAGUCGAGCGAACAGACGAGGAGCUUGCUCCUCUGACGUUAGCGUCGGACGGGUGAGUAACACGUGGAUAACCUACCUAUAAGACUGGGAUAACUUCGGGAAACCGGAGCUAAUACCGGAUAAUAUAUUGAACCGCAUGGUUCAAUAGUGAAAGACGGUUUUGCUGUCACUUAUAGAUGGAUCCGCGCCGCAUUAGCUAGUUGGUAAGGUAACGGCUUACCAAGGCAACGAUGCGUAGCCGACCUGAGAGGGUGAUCGGCCACACUGGAACUGAGACACGGUCCAGACGCCUACGGGAGGCAGCAGUAGGGAAUCUUCCGCAAUGGGCGAAAGCCUGACGGAGCAACGCCGCGUGAGUGAUGAAGGUCUUCGGAUCGUAAAACUCUGUUAUUAGGGAAGAACAAAUGUGUAAGUAACUAUGCACGUCUUGACGGUACCUAAUCAGAAAGCCACGGCUAACUACGUG